rnacentral:tRNA from 1 species
CGGAGCGUAGCGCAGCCUGGUAGCGCACCUGAUUUGGGAUCAGGAGGUCGUAGGUUCAAAUCCUAUCGCUCCGACCA